CUGAUACUGCCACGCCUGUUCUCAGUCAAGAAAUCACUUGAAUAGGACCUGCCUGACAAAGUGAAGGACCAAAAGAUCCUGAAAACUAUAUAUCAUGCCAAGUUCUCAAGAAAUUCAGGAACAAAUGAGAAAGAAAGUAAUUGAGAGCUAUCAGCGUGGAAAAGCCAUUUCUAAAGCUUUCGGACUCCAGCGAACGACAGUGAGAGCCAUUAUCCACAAAUGCUGAAAACAUAGAACACUGGUGAACCUUCCUAGGGGUUACCCCAAGAGCGCAGCGACGACUCAUCCAAGAUGUCACAAAAGACCUCACAACAUCCAAAGAACUGCAGGCCUCUCUUGCUUCAGUUAAGAAGACGUCUUGAGGAUUCUUGAAGACUUUGGGGAAAAUACUCUGUGGUCUGACAAGGCAAAUGUUGAACUUUUUGGAAGGUGUGUGUGCCAUUACAUCUGGAGUGCUGUACCAACUGACUGGUUGGAAUACACAAGAACCAUGGCAGACUUCCGCACCUUGACCAAGACCAUGAAACAGUAUAUAAAAGUACAGCACCACCUUUCCCAGAUCAUCCCGGGGGGGGAAGUUCCAGUCAAGUUUCUCCAAAUCGAAAGAAAACUGAUCAGGACCAUCUGCCCAGCGGGCCCGACGCCCAAAACGGACCACCUCCUGACAGGCAACGCUAAGAACUGGACGCACAGCAUAAUGCAGAUACUUCACAAGCACUACACGUUGAUGUCGAAGAAAUGUGAAGCUGAGCUGAAGACUGUGCCCAAGGACUCUUGGGAACGAGCGCUGGCCGUGGCCAGGCGCUGGGUCAAAAGAGAUUUCCGCUCACUCAACAAGCAAACGUUACAAGCGGCUACACAAAAAAUACAGGAAAUCAUGACCUGCCCAAAGGAAAUAACUCGCGCAACACAGACGGCAUGCGCAAAAUGCAUCAAACCUGAAGUGGAGGAACAACCACUGAACAUAAAUGUCAAAGUGGAAGAGCGACCAGUAAACAUAAACGUGAAUGCGGAAAAACAACCAGUGAACAGAAAUGUGAAAGUGGAAGAACAACCAGUAAGCAUAAAUGUGAACAUGAAGGAACAGCCAGUGAACACAGUAAAAGGAAGACCAAAGCAUAAGAGGAAGAACAACCAGUGACAAGUGUUGACCAGUGCACUGUAUGGUCACUCUUAUUUUUCCCUGGAAGUUCCCAAUGUUUAUCUUCCCACAGUCUGGUUUCCAUUGUUCUACGCACACAUGGUUGGUAUAUUCCCACUGUGCUAUACACUCCUCUGUGACAAGUAUCAUUAUGUCAUAGUAUAUGUUUUCAUUGUUUUAUAUUGUUACAAUAUUGUGUGAUUGUUUUUGUUUUUAAUAUACAUUUGUACAGUCUUCUACACGCAUGGGCUUGAUGUUCCCAAUGUUUUAGAAAGCCAUAGCUUCAUGUUAAGUUUUUCUGUCACAGUUUUAUGGUGCAUUAAAAGAGAAAGUUACACAGUGUA